UACCAGCACCCCGAGUGGUCGGGACGAUUAUUGGGCCUAAAGCAUCCGUAGCCGGUUCUACAAGUCUUCCGUUAAAUCCACCUGCUUAACAGAUGGGCUGCGGAGGAUACUAUAGAGCUAGGAGGCGGGAGAGGCAAGCGGUACUUAGUGGGUAGGGGUAAAAUCCGUUGAUCCAUUGAAGACCACCAGUGGCGAAGGCGGCUUGCCAGGACGCACUCGACGGUGAGGGAUGAAAGCUGGGGGAGCAAACCGG
rnacentral:rRNA from 1 species